CAGGCCUAACACAUGCAAGUCGCACGAGAAAUCUUCUGCUUGCAGGAGAGAGUAAAGUGGCGCACGGGUGAGUAACGCGUGGGUAAUCUCCCUUCGAAUCGGGGAUAACAUUGCGAAAGCGAUGCUAAUACCGGAUAAUAUCAUUGGAAUUUCGGUUCUUUUGAUCAAAGGUGGCCUCUAGAUCUAAGCUACUGUUUGAAGUUGAGCCCGCGUACCAUUAGCUGGUUGGUAGGGUAAUGGCCUACCAAGGCUACGAUGGUUAGCUGGUCUGAGAGGAUGAUCAGCCACACUGGAACUGACACACGGUCCAGACUCCUACGGGAGGCAGCAGUGAGGAAUUUUGCCCAAUGGGGGAAACCCUGAGGCAGCAACGCCGCGUGAGUGAUGAAGGCCUUCGGGUCGUAAAGCUCUGUCAAGUGGGAAGAACCUGCAAAAUGCAAAUACCAUUUUGCACUGACGGUACCACUGAAGGAAGCACCGGCUAACUCCGUGCCAGCAGCCGCGGUAAU
rnacentral:rRNA from 1 species